rnacentral:rRNA from 1 species
UACGUAGGGGGCAAGCGUUGUCCGGAUUCAUUGGGCGUAAAGAGCUCGUAGGCGGUGUGUCGCGUCGGCCGUGAAAACCUGCAGCUUAACUGUGGGCUUGCGGUCGAUACGGGCAUCACUGGAGUUCGGCAGGGGAGACUGGAAUUCCUGGUGUAGCGGUGAAAUGCGCAGAUAUCAGGAGGAACACCGGUGGCGAAGGCGGGUCUCUGGGCCGAUACUGACGCUGAGGAGCGAAAGCGUGGGGAGCGAACAGG